ACUUGUUGUGACGCUAUCUAUCCUCCAACAGGGAAUGAAUUUUUUCAAGUUUUUUUCUGUUAAUACAUUUUCUCUUUUUUAAAUUUGUGGAAUCAACUCGCCAUUUACUGCUCUGGAAUUGAAUCCCCUAUCAAGAUUCCAACUAAUAUCCUUACUAUAUAGUGGAUUCAUCAAAUCUGAAUGCCAACUCCAUUUAACUUCUUUAAAGCAACAAGUCAUCAUGCCGAUAUUGAAAAUGUUUUCCAUUUAUAAGCUUCUUCAGCAAUUAGUCUUCAUGGUGACAUAAAGAAAUUUACCUACAUCAGCUUCAUCUGAAAAUCAGCUUUAGUCCCCGCUCCUGAUCUGUUUAGCACAGCUGUUCAUCUCAGCCAAAUCUGCACAUCAACCGAGACAUCAACUAUACAGCCAACACUCAUCUACACUGUCCUCAGUUAUAUUAACCAUAUUAUAUUGUAUUGUAUUAUUGUUAUAUUAUUGUCCCAGUUUGUUCGAUUGAGACAUGUUGUUUUUAAAUACAGAAUAUAGCAUGGUCAGACUUGACUGAUGAUGCUUUUUCCUACAAA